AGAAACUUAGGUUAAACCCAACAAACCAGGAGCCUUCAAAGCCCCAAAUAAGGAAAACCACCCCUUAGUUUCUG
rnacentral:tRNA from 2 species